GAGUUUGAUCCUGGCUCAGGAUGAACGCUAGCGGCAGGCUUAACACAUGCAAGUCGAGGGGUAACAGGGUUUAGUUUACUAGAUUGCUGACGACCGGCGCACGGGUGAGUAACGCGUAUACAAUUUGCCUUUUACUGGAGGAUAGCCCAGAGAAAUUUGGAUUAAUACUCCAUAGUAUUAAUUGGUCGCCUGAUCGAUUAAUUAAAGUUCCGGCGGUAAAAGAUGAGUAUGCGUCCUAUUAGCUAGAUGGUAAGGUAACGGCUUACCAUGGCGACGAUAGGUAGGGGUCCUGAGAGGGAGAUCCCCCACACUGGUACUGAGACACGGACCAGACUCCUACGGGAGGCAGCAGUGAGGAAUAUUGGGCAAUGGAGGCAACUCUGACCCAGCCAUGCCGCGUGCAGGAAGACGGCCCUAUGGGUUGUAAACUGCUUUUAUACAGGAAGAAACUUACCCACGUGUGGGUAACUGACGGUACUGUAAGAAUAAGGACCGGCUAACUCCGUGCCAGCAGCCGCGGUAAUACGGAGGGUCCAAGCGUUAUCCGGAAUCAUUGGGUUUAAAGGGUCCGUAGGCGGGCAAUUAAGUCAGAGGUGAAAUCCCACAGCUCAACUGUGGAACUGCCUUUGAUACUGGUUGUCUUGAGAUAUAGUGAAGUAGAUAGAAUAUGUAGUGUAGCGGUGAAAUGCAUAGAUAUUACAUAGAAUACCAAUUGCGAAGGCAGAUUACUAAUAAUAUACUGACACUGAUGGACGAAAGCGUGGGGAGCGAACAGGAUUAGAUACCCUGGUAGUCCACGCCGUAAACGAUGGUCACUAGCUGAUCGAACUUAGGUUGAGUGGCUAAGCGAAAGUGAUAAGUGACCCACCUGGGGAGUACGUUCGCAAGAAUGAAACUCAAAGGAAUUGACGG
rnacentral:rRNA from 1 species